UAAAUUACAUAAAAUUACUUUAACUAUUGGAUCAGUUAUAGUUUCAUACUUCAUCUUUAAAAAAUGUCAAUAUCAUACCUUAUCUUACGAAUUUGUUACAAUUUCAUAUCUUCGGUCAGUUUUUCUAUCAAUUCUUCUGUUAAAUAGUGACAUGACUUGAGACGGAGCCUAUUAUCUAUAAAAAAAAUAAUUAAAUAUUAAAAACUAAAAAAUAAAAUCAUUUAAUAAUUGCAUGGGGGACCCACCCCUUAUCCCCCUCACCCAUUCUUCCCCGCUCCAGUCUUCCCCAAACCCAAAACCAGAUCCCACCCCGCUCUCGUUUUCUUUGCAUCGAUCACUACCGCCACUCUCCCUUCAAUCUCCCUUGCCACUUCUCUGGCUUUGAUGACCACCUUUAGCUGUCACUCACCCACCUCACAUGCGCCACGCCUUAUCCCUUCACUCUUUCUUCCCUAAUUCCACAACCUAGAAUCCGAUUCAAACCCCUCAAUUUUCAAAAUUCGCAUUUCAAAAAAUUGAAUACAAGAUGAACUGAAGUGAUGUCACCACUUAUUGUGAAGUGAGCUUGCUUCAUGUCUCUGGAAAGAUCGACGAUCUUCUUAUGAAGAUUGGAGAGGUUGAGGUCCUGACCGUAGCGUUGAGGAGGGCGAGGCAGCCAGAGAUGGCGACUGUGUGGUCGCGGAGGGAAGAGCAAAGGGAGAGGCAGUUGAUGAUGACGAAGAUUUUGCCCUUGGUUCUGUAGAACGACAGAGUUUUGAGUGUGGAGGUGAGGUCGACGAUGAUGCCCUUAAAGGCGAUGUGGACGAAGGGAGAGAGGGAGUCGAGCGAUGGCGUGGCGCGGGUGAGGUGGGUGAGUAACAGUUGAAGGUGGUUAGCAAAGCUAGAGAAGCAGUAGGGGAGGUCGUAGGGAAAGUGGCGGUAGUGAUCGGCACAGAGAAGACGGGAGCAUGGUGGGAUCUGGUUUUGGGUUUGGGGAAGACGGAAGUGGGGAAGAAAAUGUGAGGGGGAUAGGGGGUAGGUCCCCCAUGCAAUUAUUAAAUGAUUUUAUUUUUAAUUUUUUAAUAUUUAACUAAUUUUUAAUUUUUUAUUAAUUUUUUUAAUAGAGAGUGAGCCCAUCUUAAGCCACGUCACUAUUUAAUGGAAUAAUUGACAGACAAACUAACGGAAUGUAUGAAAUUGUAACAAAUUCGUAAGAUGAGGUAUGACAUUGACAUUUUUUAAAGAUGGGAUAUGAAACUGUGACUGGCUCAAUAGUUGAGGUAAUUUUAUGUAAUUUACCCUUAAUAUUUUGUUAGUUAAUUCAAUCAUAAUUUUGUUUUACAACUUAGUACUAUGGUUUAGUUUUAUUCAUUUUUAUUUGUAAGUGUAAGUGACAUGUUUUAAGUUCAAUUUUUGUCAAAAUCAAAUUUGAACCACAUUGUUGCUUGUCCAUUAUGAGGCUUGAUCCACUUUAUACCCUUAGUAUUGAUAAUAUUGUUUGUUAACAAAAAAAAAAAUUGUUUUGGUUUUUGAAUUUUUUACUUCUUUUUGUGGUUUUACACGUGGCAUGGAACCAGGCAAGAUAAAUGUGAUAUGUGUUUGUUUUGCUCAGGUUAGGGAAGAUUUUACCAUGUUUAUGUUUCCUUGGAGAGAACCUUGGAGUUGGGGUUUGAUUGGAUCCUUGUACACGCUGGCGGGCCCCAACUGUAUUGAGGAUAAUUGUUAGGUUAAAAUAUAGUGAAGUUUCUAUUUUUAGGUUUGUUCUAAUUUUUCAUUAUUUCAUGAUUUUUUUUUUCUCAACCGAAGCCUAAU
rnacentral:lncRNA from 1 species